rnacentral:rRNA from 1 species
AUGUGGCGGUUCAGUGGGUGCUUGGAGCAAGUGCGGAAUGCACCUCCAAGUGGUGUCACGAUUGAUGAUUAUGAUCGCAUUGCCAAUGAAUAUUUCAAGCAAACAACGAGUUUCAAAGCCCGGCCGUUCGUGCUUCACCAUUGUUGGCGCUUGCUCAAGGAUAGUGAGAAGUGGAGGGUGAGGGACAAGGAAUAUCCACCAAAGAAAGGUGCUCAUGUUAAUUUGGAAGACGAUGAUGACAGUGAUGAUGCACCAAGAGGAGGAAGAAACAGAGGCAAGCCAGGGGAAAACAAUAAGGAGAAAGCAAGGGUGAAGAGAUCGGCCGAGGCAUCCACUUUGAGGGAUCAAAGUAGUGAGAUGGUGAAGGUGAAAGAAAUUAUGCUGGCCAAGCAUUUUGAUACUAAAGUGGCCUUGGCCGAGAAGAAAGACAAACAAAAGGAGUCAAAGUGGGAGAGAAGGUGUGCCUUCGAGGAGCGCAAGAUCGCCCUAGAGGAGCAAAAGAGGAGGGACAAGAGGACCGUCGAGGAGGACUAG